GGAUGCAUAGAGCCAUCUGGGAGAGAUGUAACAGAACAGAAGAACUUAAUUCCAGCCUAUAUAUACCUGUUGGUUUUGUUGACUCCCUAUCAGAAGGAGUUAAAACAAUGAAAAAAAAAAUCUAUAAAAUAAAGGGGUCUUUUAAAAAAAAUCUCAUUGAAGUACAGCUGAUUUGCAAUAGUGUGUUCAUUUCUGCUGUAUAGUGAAGUGACUCAGUUAUAUAUACACACAAACACCCUUUCUGUUGGCAACCACAAGUGUGUUUUCUAUAUCUGUGAGUCUGGUUUUGUUUCAUAGUAUUUUUAUUUGGUUGUGGGUUUUUAUGGUUUGUUUGUUUUGUUUUUGUCUUUUUUAGGGAUGCGCCUGCAGAAUUUGGAAGUUCCACGCUAGGGGUUGAAUUAGAGCUGUAGCUACACCACAGCCACAGCAACAUGGGAUCUGAUCCUCAUCAGGGACCUACACCACAGCUCACAGCAAUGCCAGAUCCUUAACCCACUGAGUGAGGCCAGGGACAAAACCCAUGUCCUCAUGGAUACUAGUUGGGUUUGUAACCACUGCACCACCAUGGGGACUCUGAUAGAUAUGUUGAUUUGUGAUUCAACAUAUAAGUGAUAUCAUACAGUAUUUGUCUGUCUUGUCUGAUUUGCUUCACUUAGUAUGAUAAUCUCUGGUCUAUCCAUGUUGCUGCUAAUGGCAUCAUUUCAUUCUUUUUAAUGACUGAGUAACAUUUCAUUGUGUGUGUGUGUGUACAAAAACUCCAUCCAUUCAUGUGUCAAUGGACAUUUAGGUUAUUUUGAUGUCUUGGAUAUUAAUUGUAAAUAGUGCCAACAUAGGUGUGCAUGCAUUUUUUUCAAAUGACAGUUUUUUUCUGGAUAUAUGCCCAAGAGUGGGAUUUCUGGAUUAUAUGGCAACUCUAUUUUCAGUUUUUUGAGGAACUUCCAUACUGUUUUCUGUAGUGGCUGCAUCAAUUUACAUUCUAACCAAUAGUGUAAAAGGGUUCCCUUUUCUCCACACCCAGGCAUAUGGAAGUUCCCGGGCCAGGAAUCAAACUCACAUGCCAUAAAUGACUCUAGCCACAAUGGUGUCAAUGCCAAAUUUUUAACUACUAGAUCACCAGAGAGCUCCCUGUUUAUAGACUUUUUAAUGAUGACCAUUCUGACAGGUGUGAGGUGGGACCUCAUUGUAGCUUUGAUUUUCAUUUCUCUAAUAAUUGGUGAUGAUAAGCAUAUUUUCAUGUGCCUAUUAGCCAUCUGUAUGUCUUCUUUGGGGAGAUGUCUGUUUAGGUCUUCUGCCUAUUUUUUUAUUGGGUCAUUGUAUUUUUUGUUAUUGGAUUGUAUGAGCUGUUAGUAUAUUUUGGAAACUAAGCCCUUGUUAGUCACAUCAUUUGAAAAUAUUUUCUUCCAGUCUGUAGGUUAUAUUUUCAUCUUGUUUAUUGUUUCCUUGCUGUGCAAAAGCUUAAAAGUUUGAUUAGGUCCCAUUUAGACAUCAUGAAGAACAAGAAAAUAUCACCAGUUAACUUUAUUUCCUCCUCCAUUUAUUGAUUUGUUAUGUCAUAGAAAUUCAUGAGCACAAAUUAAGCUUUAGGGAGAGAGAAAAAAAGAAAAAGAACAGAGAGCAUAACUUAUAGAAAGAGGCUUCUUUCCCACAUCUCCUGCCCUAAGCCUGUCUCCAAAAGUGGCAGUUCCAAAAUCUCCAUGGAAUAAAGUAGAUGCUUAUGGUAAUGGCCCAAAUAUUACAAAAGGGAGUAAUAAAAUGAGAAUCUGAGUCAUUGCAAAAAAAUUAAAACUCAACAUUACUAGAAAAUACUAGUUUAUUUUUGUUACAGUUACUGUAUGCAUAAAUAUUUCCUUCAAAAUUAAAUUAAAAAUAUAUGUUAAACUAUCUAGUUUGUGGUUUCUGAUAUAAGAAAAAAAUGUUUUUUCAAAUGUGAGAACAUUUUAUUUGCUGAAUUUGUGUUGAUACCUAAUUUUUCAGAUGGUACAGGUUACCAAAGUCCUAGUUAAGAUUGCAAAAUAGCACAAAUUAUAAAUUCUAGGGUGCUUUACCAAAAAACAUUUAUCAACAACAUUAAUAAGACAUUAAGAUAAUAUGUCCAUGUCAUUUUUUUCCUGCUUCUUGUCCUUCGCUGUUGAAAUGACUGUUAAUAAUCAAAAGUUGGCAGAAAUAAGAAGGGAAAUGAAAUGAUUAGUUAGACUGUACAUGCCAAGCAGAUUCCCAUGGUAGCUAGUCACCAGGGAGAAGUCUUAGGCACAGAACAUCACAAAGCUGAUACCUUGACAUCCUUACCAAUUUGGGGCAGAAUAAGUAGUACAAGGAAUAAAUAUAAUUCCCAGAAAUAGGUAGAUCAUUUCUUGUGACAAGACAGAACCUGAAGAAGUCAAAGUAGACUCCAUUUUCCUCUAAGUUUCCUCUUCAAUUUGUUAAACUUGACAUUGAGUAAUGAAGACAGAUUUAUAAUAAAUGAAAGAUAAUUAUGCAUACAUAUGUACAUAAACAUGUGUAUGUAAUUCAAUAUAAAAUGUGGAAGGAUAAUACAUUAAAGGCCAAUAUGGUUUAAAAUUCACACUUACUAAAACCUAUUUUAAUAUACUGUGGCCUCUGUAUCAUAUCUCAUCAGACUACUUCUUGAACUAGUUGAAGUAUACAGCCAUUCAACAAACUGUGCAGGACAACUCUGUUUAACCAAUUCCUUCCCUGCUGUUCCCUUUUUUUGUCAAGCACCCAUAGUCUCAAAUUGUUUAACUGUUUGUGUACCUAUAUGCAUUCAUUAACACAAAAUAAUGUUAGAAUUUAGGGUACUAACUAUAGCAAGAAAUGACAGCUUAAAAGAGAGAAGACCAAGAUAUUAAAAAAGAAAUGAGGAGUUACUCUAAGGGAACUUAGGUCAGGAAUUUGCAGUUCAUCAGGACUUCAACAUUUUUAAGAUAUCACUUUAAUUCAACAUAUAGUAAUUUACCUAAAUGAUAAAUAUUUCUGAAUCAUUGAAUCCAUUUAAUAUAUACACUAUUACUAACACUACCACUACUAGUUGUAGUUAACAUUAUUGACUGAUUAUAAGAUCUGGCAGGCACUAUUCCGAAUGUUAUUCAACCUGUUAAGAGACCUGUGGUAUUUGAAAGAACACAGAGAUUCAAAUAAUCUUUAACCAUUGUAACAACUUUUUGAAGGAGUUUUAUUAUCAUUCCUAUUUGUAGUUUAGGAAAUCCAUAUAAAUAAAAGUUAAGCAAAUUGCCUAAUAACACAUUGCUUGUCAGUAGAAAAGCAAGGUUUUGAAUCAAAAGAAUGUAGCUUGAAAGACAAUAUUUAACCUCUACAUUAAACUGGAGAAUGAGAUACAGUUAAAAUAAAAUGUAGAAUCUCAUUUUUUUGGAAAAUUGUUUUAAAUGGAAGUGCUCAUCUACCACAAAAGAUACAUCACUCUAUUUGCACUACUGGCAUCUCAAAAAAUAAACCUGCUUCUUUGAAUCAUUUUAAAAAGGAAACUUCAUAAAACAUAUUAUAAUUAUAGAUACAAUCUUAGAGUGGUGAGAUUCAUUUUAGAUGUUUCCAGUCUGUAAAUAUAGUCAAUCUGAGCAUUUGAAAUGAUAUAUCUUAUAAUUCUGCUCUUACUAGUUAUUCAUCAAAGCAUUCUUUUACUCUAUUCUAAUUAUUUAAUUAUUAAAUGAUAAUAUGCAGAAGGUAGUGUGCUAGGAAAUAGGUUGUUAAAAAAAUUAAUGUCAUAGUCUCUAUCUUUAGAGAUUUUAGAAUCUGGUCUAAAAAGAUUAACAGGUAGAUUUACUUCUGUAAGGACAAUGUAUUAAUUUGUAUUAGAUAUUAAGAGGAACAAGAAAAAUUAUACAUAGUCAAUUAGACAUGUGGGAGAGGCAAUGGAAAAGCCAUCCUUUAGGGCCUGCUAUUUGACCAGAGUCAUAAAGGAUACAUAAGAGUUAACCAAACCAAAUAUGGCUGGAAAGAAGAAAGGCUUUCUGGGAAGAACAGAUAAAAAGGCAAGGAAGCAUGGACACAAUUUUCUUGGAGUAGGAGAAGUGAAGUAGAGAUUUGCAAGAAGGGAGUAGAAGUAUAAGUGGGAGCCUUGAAAACUAUUUUAACUUGCUUGCCUUUUAUUCUGUAGGUGAGAGAGAAUUUUAGACAAAUUAGACAUGGAAAUGACAAAGCUAAUUUCAAAUUCAAAAGAUUCACUUUGAAAGCUAUAUAAAGGAAUUAAGGAAAAUAAACAUGGAAGCAGAGGCACUAGUUAAGGGCUUUAUUAUAGAAGUCUAGGAAGAAUUGAGGAGAAAAUAAACUAGGGAAGUGGUAGUAAUUAAGAGGUUAAAUAAUUUAAAGGAUAUAAAAUACACUAGCAGCAAGUUGAAAGAGGAUGAUGUAUUUAAAUCUGCAUGCUUUGUAUUUGAUAUACCUAUAACACAGGUAGGUGGAAAAUUCGAGAAGUAGAUAUGUUUGGAAUAGAGGGAAAAGAACAAAGCUGGAUAUAAUAGACUUAGCAAUUUAGCAUGGCUGAAUAUAAAAGAAUAAAUGCAAUUCCCCCUAGAAAACUAUGAAAAUUGAAAUCAUUUGGCCAAGACUAGAUCUCUGGAUAAUGUAGAUACUGUGGCAAGAUAUCAUGGAUGCCAAAAUAUGAUGUCCUCUUAAAAAAAUGAUCUGAUGAAGAUUUUGAUAUACACACAUGUUUACCUAACCAUUUUACAUAUCUAGAAACAAUAAGAGAAUAAGAUCAUUUUUGGACAAACAUGGCAUGGCCAAAACAGCUCAAUAGCAUCAGAAUAUUCUGAUUCCCCAAAAGUUACUUGCUCUUUUGUCUCAACCCAUUCUAUAUAUCAUAAUCAUCUCACUGUAACUCAGUUAUAAUAAUCCAAAAUUUUUCUUAUGAUUUCCUAUUUUUGAUGACUCCUUUUACUUAUCUUUGAUAUGUCUCUCCAGUGGUCUUAGUAGAGUGAUGAAAUACGAUUCUACAGAUUCUGCUUUGAGUGACUUGUACUUCUUUCUCUCAUUUGACCAAAUCCAUCACAACUGCUCCAAUGUUUCUUAUGGUUGAAUCUUGCUUAUGCAUUAUAAUAUGUCCCAUAGUUCCUAAAUCUUAUUUAAUCUCAUUUGACCUACUUCAAAUGUAUACCCUAUUAAGGGUAAUUGGCAAACUAAAUAUGAAAGAAGAAAAGUGGCCCGAAAAUGAUGAAAUUUGUUGAGAAAUAUGUUCAUUCUUGUCUGUAUAUAGGUUUUAGCUCUGUUAGGACAUGUUCAAGGGUUAACGCCUUCCCUUUCAUACACCAUUGAUUCUUGAUAAGGAUCUCACUUUCUGUUGAAUAAUACUUAAAAAAAAUAGUUAAAAUAGAGCAAACAAAAGUUUCAAAGCAGAGAAAGGCUUUACUACUGCUGCUGAGUAUAGCUGCAAUAAAAAUAUCAGAGAGCAGUGAAAAAAAUAGCCAAACAGCUCCUCCACAUUGGCAACACAUGGCAUCCUCAAAAUGGUAAGAGAUGAUUGACAGUCAUUGGUCCACAUAACUCACUAUAACUGGCAAUGGAUUAUUUGAUUGAAUCUUUAAAUUGAAUCUGUUUUUUUGUCUUAUCUUUCUCCUAGGAAUUUUGCCCCUAGGUACUGGGAAUCCUUAGUCUUGGUCCCAAGAUACUUCCUCCAAGAUCUCGCCCUCAACCCAGGCAUUUUUUAUUGAAAAGAUCAAUAAAACUAAUAAAAAGAAUAGCAAAAUGGAUUGGGGGGGCAUAACUUAACAACAGCAGAAGGAAAGAGGGGGCAUCAUUACAAAUCUUCCAGACAUUAAAAGAAUAAUAUGCAAUAUUCUUGUGCCAAUAAACUCAAAAAUUAGAAUUAAAGAGGGUAUUGAAUAUAUUUACUAAUAUUAAAUAUUUAUUAUUACUUUCAAUAAUUUGAAAUGGAUAAAUUCCGUGAAAACAUAAUCUAUCAAAAACUCACUUAAGAAUUACCUUAUAUGGCAAAAGAUAUGUCACAGGUAUGAUUAAAUGUUAAGGGUUUUGAGAUGAGGAGAUUAUCCCGGAUUGUCUAGGGGAUCUGAUGUGGGUACAUUAAAUUUUAUAAGAUGAUUCUGGAAAAAAGUCAGAGGAGAAAAUGAUAUGAUGACACAGAGACUAGAACAAUGUGACCUGAAGAUUGAAGAGGGGGCCACAAGCAAAGAAAUGCAGGUGGCUACUAGACCCUGAAAAAGUUGGGGAAACAGAGUUUUUCCUCACAGACUCCAGAAGGACCAUCCCUGCUGACACCUGGAUCUCAGACAAGUGAAACUGAUUUCAGACGUCUGACUUCCAGAAUUGUAGGAGAAUAAAUUUUUGUUGUUUCAAGCUGUAAAAAAGAAAAGAAAAUAAUAACUAAUAUGAAUAGCCUAAAAUCUAUUAUAGAAUUAAGUUAGUGCCAAUAAAUGGACACCUAGAAGAAAUGGAAAAAUUCUUAAAAAUGUACAAUCUUCCAAGACUGAACCAGGAAGAGAUGGAAAAUAGGAAGGGACCAAUCACAAGUAUUAAAAUUGAAACUGUGAUUGAAAAACUUCCAAAACACAAAAGGUCCAGGACCAGAUGGCUUCACAGGUGAAUACUAUCAAACAUUUAGAAAGAGUUAACACCUCUCCUUCUGAAACUAUACCAAAAAAUUGUAGAGGAAUGCAUAUUCCUAAACUCAUUCUAUGAGGCCACCAUCACCCUGAUACCAAAACCAGACAGAUAUAACAAAAAAUAAAAUUACAGGCUAGUAUCACUGAUGAACAUAGAGGCAAAAAUCCUCAACAAAAUACUAGCAAACUGAAUCCAAAAAUACAAGGAUCAUACACCAUGAUCAAGUGGAAUUUAUCCUAGGGAUGCAAGGAUUCUUCAAUAUCUGCAAAUCAACCAGUGCGAAACACCACACUAACAAAAUGAAGAAUAAAACCAUAUGAUCAUCUCAAUAGAUACAGAAAAAGCUUUUGACAAAAUUCAACUUCCAUUUUUGAUAAAAACUUCCCAGAAAGUGGGCAGAGAGGGAACCUACCUCAAUCUAAUAAAGGCCAUAUAUUACAAACCCAAAGCUAGUAUCAUUCUCAGUGGUGAAAAAAUGAAAAUAUUUCUACUGAGGUAAGGGAUUAUGUCUGCUCUUGCCACUUUUAUUCAAAGUAGUUUUGGAAGUCCUGGAAACUGGAAUGAAAGAAGAAAAAGAAAUAAAAGGAAUCCAAAUUGGAAAAGAAGUAAAACUGUCACUAUUUGCAGAUGGCAUUAUACUAUACACAGAAAAUCCUAAAUACGCUACCAGAAAACUACUAGAGCUCAUCAAUGAAUUUGGUAAAUUUGCAGGAUACAAAUUAAUGCACAGAAAUCACUUUCAUUCCUAUACACUAACAGCAGAAGCUCAGAAAGGGAAAUUAAGGAAACAAUCACAUUUACUACCAUAUCCAAAAGAAUAACAUACCUUAGAAUAAACCUACAUAAGGAGGCCAAAGACCUGCACCCUGAAAACUAUAAGAUGCUGAUAAAAGAAACUGAAGAUGACACAAACAGAUAUAAAAAUAUUCUGUGGCCUUGGCCUGGAAGAAUCAAUAAUGUCAAAAUGAGUAUACUACCCAAGGUAAUCUACAGAUUCAGAUUUUUUUAGAGAACUAGGACAAAAAUUUUUUAAAUUUGUAUGGAAACACAAAAGACCCUGAAUAGACAAAGUAAUCCCAAGAAAGAAAAAUGGAGCAGGAGAAAUCGGGUUCCCUGACUUCAGACUAUACUAUAAAGCUAUAGCAAUCAAAAGAGU
rnacentral:lncRNA from 1 species